rnacentral:rRNA from 1 species
AUUGAACGCUGGCGGCAGGCCUAACACAUGCAAGUCGAGCGAGCGGCGGACGGGUGAGUAAUGUCUGGGAAACUGCCUGAUGGAGGGGGAUAACUACUGGAAACGGUGGCUAAUACCGCAUACUAUCAGAUGUGCCAAGAUGGGCUUAGCUAGUAGGUGAGGUAACGGCUCACAAAGGCGACGAUCCCUAGCUGGUCUGAGAGGAUGACCAGACACACUGGAACUGAGACACGGUCCAGACUCCUACGGGAGGCAGCAGUGGGGAAUAUUGCGCAAUGGGCGCAAGCCUGAUGCAGCAAUGCCGCGUGUGUGAAGAAGGUCUUCGGGUUGUAAAGCUCUGUCAGUGGGGAAGCGUUACCCACAGAGAAAGCACCGGCUAACUCCGUGCCAGCAGCCGCGGUAAUAC